GAAGCCGGAAUUGCUAGUAAUGGCAGGUCAGCAUACUGCCGUGAAUACGUUCCCGGGCCUUGUACACACCGCCCGUCACACCAUGAGAGUUGGAAAUACCCGAAGCCUGUGAGCUAACCGUAAGGAGGCAGCAGUCGAAGGUAGAGUCAAUGAUUGGGGUGAAGUCGUAACAAGGUAAC
rnacentral:rRNA from 1 species